AUGUGUUCUGUUCUUGGCGGUGAGGUUUUUGCUGAAUGUGAAAAGGAGAUUGGUGCAUUGGUUAAAAGGCUUUUGGGAUUGAUAUCCCAAGGGCUUGGCCCAGAGUAGGACUGCUUACAGAAGAAAUUGGGUGAGAAUCCUACUCAAAAAGCAGAAGGAAACUACUAUCCACCAUGUCCUGACCCUGAGCUCACACUUGGACUAUCUGUCCAUACUGAUCUCAAUGCACUCACAAUACUAAGGCAAACAGAGGGAGUGACUGGCCUUCAAGUAAUGAUCAAAGAUGAGAAAUGGGUUGCUGUUGAUCCUCUCCCAAUCGCCUCUGUUAUCAAUCUAGGUUUUGCGUAAUGGAAGGUAUAAGAGCGUGCACCACAGGGCAGUGGCCAACAAAGUUGAGCCAAGGUUGUCAUUAGCAAUGUUCUAUGGACCCAGCAAGGACACGGUGAUUGGUCCAAUUGAGGAUUUGAUUGACGAGGAACACCC